UACGAAGGGGGCUAGCGUUGUUCGGAAUCACUGGGCGUAAAGGGCGCGUAGGCGGCCGAUCAAGUCGGGGGUGAAAGCCUGUGGCUUAACCACAGAAUGGCCUCGAUACUGUUUGGCUUGAGACCGGAAGAGGUUAGUGGAACUGCGAGUGUAGAGGUGAAAUUCGUAGAUAUUCGCAAAGAACACCAGUGGCGAAGGCGGCUGACUGGUCCGGUUCUGACGCUGAGGCGCGAAAGCGUGGGGAGCAAACAGG
rnacentral:rRNA from 1 species